CACCAUGGCGACGAUCGGUAGCCGGACUGAGAGGUUGAACGGCCACAUUGGGACUGAGACACGGCCCAGACUCCUACGGGAGGCAGCAGUGGGGGAUAUUGCACAAUGGGGGAAACCCUGAUGCAGCAACGCCGCGUGAAGGAAGACGGUCUUCGGAUUGUAAACUUUUGUACACAGGGACGAUAAUGACGGUACCUGUGCAGCAAGCUCCGGCUAACUAC
rnacentral:rRNA from 1 species